rnacentral:rRNA from 1 species
GGCGAACGCUGGCGGCGUGCUUAACACAUGCAAGUCGAACGGAAAGGCCCAGCUUGCUGGGUGCUCGAGUGGCGAACGGGUGAGUAACACGUGGGUGAUCUGCCUCUAACUUCGGGAUAAGCUUGGGAAACUGGGUCUAAUACCGGAUAGGACAAUCGUUUAGUGUCGGUUGUGGAAAGUUUUUUCGGUUAGGGAUGAGCCCGCGGCCUAUCAGCUUGUUGGUGGGGUAAUAGCCUACCAAGGCGUCGACGGGUAGCCGGCCUGAGAGGGUGGACGGCCACAUUGGGACUGAGAUACGGCCCAGACUCCUACGGGAGGCAGCAGUGGGGAAUAUUGCACAAUGGGCGCAAGCCUGAUGCAGCGACGCCGCGUGGGGGAUGACGGCCUUCGGGUUGUAAACCUCUUUCGACAGGGACGAAGCUUUGGUGACGGUACCUGUAUAAGAAGCACCGGCUAACUACGUG